CGUAUUAUACAGUACUCGCACAUUGCACGCGCACAAAUGCUGUGCGGGCAUAGGAACUACGCUUCCGAGCCGUUAUUAUUGGUCUUUAUCAUUAUUUGUCGUUAUCAUUUCCGAACAACCGCCGUCCGCGGCUCUGUUCGACCGACGGCGUUCCGUGUCACAAUCAAUAAAGCCUCCGCGUAAUUUCUUCACUACGCCUUCUCGACUCGUCCUCGGCUUUUGCAAAGGUCGUUUUCCCAUUAUUGGUUUGGUUACGGCGUGCUUUCCCGUGCGCGUACAGCCAAUACACGUUUUUCCCUCGUCUCCACUAUACGGUUAUGGUAUCCUUUAUUUUUGCUGGUACAAAGUUUGUCCGCAUUUUUUGCGUGUAGGCAUUAAUAAUUUAUUUAAACG